rnacentral:rRNA from 1 species
CCCUUAGACGUUCUAGGCCGCACGCGCGCUACACUGACCAGUGCAACAAGCAUCCGUCCUUGGCCGACAGGCCCGGGCAAUCUUUGAACGCUGGUCGUGAUGGGGAUAGACUUUUGCAAUUUUUGGUCUUCAACGAGGAAUUCCUAGUAAACGCAAGUCAUCAACUUGCAUUGAUUACGUCCCUGCCCUUUGUACACACCGCCCGUCGCACCUACCGAUUGAAUGGUCCGGUGAAGCCUCCGGAUUGGCGCGCACCUCGGUGCCGCCGAGAAGUUGGCUAAACCUUACCAUUUAGAGGAAGGUGAAGUCGUAACA